AGCAGUAAGAGAGCCCAGAAGAAGAGUAAAGCAAUUCAGUUAAAGGUUUAGUUAAAUCUAGUUAGUACCACAAACCCAGCUGGUGCUCCCACUCAGUCUAUCAGCGAUCCUUCCAGUUCCCCAGCAGUCCUAGAAUUCAAGGAAGGACUGCUAGGCAGAGAUGGCGUUCACCUUUCGAGGAGGGGAAAGGCCCUAUUUGGACACAGACUGGCUAACCUAGUGAGGAGGGCUUUAAACUAGGUUCGACGGGGACAGGUGAGCAAAGCCCACAGGGUCAUCUUGAUUGCAGGAAACUGAAGCUCUUUCUAGCUCAGGAACUACUGAAAGUAAGGGUAAUUUUCAGAAUUGCUGUGCAUAGAUAAAUAUUCUGGAAACUCCAACACAGCAGAGAGACUGCUGGAAUCUUUUCAAGAAUCUCUAUCUUUUGAAAACUUUCGUCAAAAGGGCCAGAGCUUCAUAGGCACCCAGCUGGCAGAGGCUAUCCUAGCCCCAUCCCGUCUCUGGCUCUUCUCAUGAUGUAUCUCAACCCUACUGAUCCUGUAAGAAAGAUUCAGCCAAUGGAAAUAGGUCUACCCCUUCUGUUGAGAAUUAUAUAUAGUACCUUGGAAGAACAACAAUUGUUUGAGUUUCUAAGCUGAUUUUCUACUUGUGCUUCAAGGGAUCUCGAAAUUCAAAAGCUUGGAAGGUUUUAUGCUCUAAGCGAAUAUAGAAGAAGGGACAAAGAUUUUAAUGCAAGGUCAUAAAUAGAACUAUUAUUGUCACCUUUCCAGAAUAUAAUUGCAGUUCAAUUCAACUCUCUAAUAUACCUCCUUCUACUAAUUAGAUGUGUGAAUUCUACCCUCCUCCUGACCCCUUCUCCCCAGAAAAAGAAGCAUCAAGGAGAAGGUCAUAGCUGAGGUAAAUUGACAUGCCCCUCUGAAAUCGGGCAUGUAUAUUUACACUAGCUGAGGAUUUGAGUCUAAUAAUUCACUUUGACAAUAUUUAAUCCCUCUCAUUUGCUUUCCUGAAUUUUUGUUAGCUAACAUGUUCAUGGCAAAAAUGUUGCAAAUAUUUGUAAUUGUGUAUUUGAAUGCACGUUCACAUUAGAAAUGUUUGUAUGGCCAUUUUGAAAGUUCUUUAUGGGAGUCCUCCAUUCAGGGAACAGAUAAAAUGCUAUGUGACUUAGAUGAAACUCUGUAAAGGCUGUACCCUUAUGUUCACCACUUUUACAAGACUAUGAUAAACUUGGUACAAAGU